UUUCCGCAAUGGGCGAAAGCCUGACGGAGCAAUGCCGCGUGGAGGUGGAAGGCCUACGGGUCGUCAACUUCUUUUCUCGGAGAAGAAACAAUGACGGUAUCUGAGGAAUAAGCAUCGGCUAACUCUGUGCCAGCAGCCGCGGUAAGACGGAGGAUGCAAGCGUUAUCCGGAAUGAUUGGGCGUAAAGCGUCUGUAGGUGGCUUUUCAAGUCCGCCGUCAAAUCCCA
rnacentral:ncRNA from 1 species